AUUCCCCACUGGCAGAGCCAAGUCACUACCACUGAGAGAAUCUUUGGACUGCUCUUGAGGCCACAGAGAGUCCACAGGGGAGAACGCGAUAAUGACAGUUAUCCACCCCAUUACAAAACAUAGGAAGUGCUUGUGGGAGGGGUGGAUAGUUACAUGAAAGUAAACAUUCUCUAGGUCAAGGGCCAUGAACCAGUCUCCUGUGUCUGAGGAUGGGAUUACGGUAGCUAGUGUCACCAUUCUGAAGUGUUAUGCUAGGACGCAAUUGUUCAAGAUCCUGAGCGCAACGGUUGGUCUCCAUCCUUCAUCUUUCUUCAGAACAAGGAUGUAAUUGGAAUAGAACCUUCUUCCGAUGAACUCUGGUAGAACCAGUUCUAUUGUUCACAGGAGAAGACAAUGAACUUCUUGACUUAGGAGUUCCUCAUGAGAAGGGUCCAUGAAGGAGGAUGGGGAGAGGGUUGGGAAGAGGGAUGGAAAAGAAGUGGAUAGAGUAACCCUCUUUGACAUUCUCUAAUAUCCACUUGUCUGAGGUAAGAAAUUCCCAGGCUAAGUAGUGGGACAGUCAAUCUCCAAAGAGGGGGUAGUCACACAACAGCUGAUUCAGAGUGGAAUGGAUUUCUUGAUGCCCUUGACCAAGGCACAUAAAUCCCCACUGAUUGAGCUUCUGGAGAGAAGAGUCCAUAUUUUCACUGAAGAGCUUAAGCUCUUUGAAUGGGAGAUCUUCCAUGGUAUUUUGAAAUUCUGGAAGACUGAAGAACUGGAGCCAGUAUGCUUUUCUCAUGACCACCAUUGUGAUGUGGACUUUCGGAGGCUGUGUCAGCAGCAUCUAGAGUAGCUUGUAGGGAGGUUUUUGCAACCAACUGUCCUUCGGCAAUGAUAGACCAAAAAUGAUUUUCUGGUCUUGUGACAAGUUGCUCAAUAAAAUGUAUAUAUUUGGA